GCAGAAACUUCUGCAGCAUCGCUCCUUCUGAGAUAUAAAUUCCCAGGUUAAGAAAGAAAAGAAAUCCUAAUGUUGAAAUUGAAAUUAGAAGCACACCCCUUUAAGUUGCAGGUGGUUACUCAGCUAACACUGGGACAACGUGUGAGCGCUUUGAUACAUACUGACACAAAUGACAGGACAAAGAAGCAUGCGUGGAAAUAAAAUGAAAAUUCAGAACAGAUGUCAGGACAUGUUUUUCAUGCUGAAUGUGCAGAGCGGUCAACCAGUGCAACUCUCCACAAUACAGAGUGAGACUUUCGUGUCUGUGUGUGUUCCUGGCAUGUCCAACACGGCUACUGAUUUCAAGAGGAGCUCAAGGAAUGUGCAGUGGGCUUUUGUCACCUCACCUUUCCAGAUGUUUCUUAAGAACUAAGCAGUUACUUAUCAAGUUGAUUUCUCCCACCUCUCCCAGUUUUCAACAGCUGAAGAAGGCAUGUGGUGUUAGAGAGUCUUACGGUGUGGGAAACUGUCUUUUGACCAGCAAUUCAACACUAUGGAAAAGGAGCUUUACAAAAAUCGAUACCUUAACAAAGGCCUAGCGUGCAAAUGUAACAAGGAAGCUGACAGGCACUUUGGACAACUUAUCACAACACUAUGUGGCAUAAAUGUGAUGCAGCGUUUCAUAAAUUUGAUGAAGUACUUCCAAAACAACUGUUGACUUUUAAAGCAUCCAACUUCCCUGAAAGUGGGAUAUUUACUGUAAGUGCAGAUUGUUGAGAUUCUCAGCUAAUUUGUUACCUGUGCUUCUUUAAUGUGUUUGUGAAUUCAUAAGAAUUUUGUAAUUGUAAGCCUUUAUGAGAUUAUUGUGUUUUAAACCAGACUUGACAGCACAAUAGAACCCAAUAAAAGAAAGCAUCAUUGCAUAAGGUCUGCUCAUACACCAAGAUGUGAAUGCCAACAAGAUGAAAGAUAAUUGACAAAGAAAGUGAAAUAUAAAAACUGCAUGUUUAUUUCUAUACUGCAUCCUCUUUGCAUCACUGUCUCAGGAAUCAAACAAAAAUACCAUUGUUGUUACAAUAAGAGCAGCGCUAAUAAAAAUGGAAGCAUUUAAGAG
rnacentral:lncRNA from 7 species